rnacentral:sRNA from 1 species
AGCGAGUAUUUUAACUGGUGAAUCAUUGAUGUCAAUGACUAGUUUUUGCCUUUGAGGCCUUAUGAAAUUACAUUAAAAAUGCAUUUGCAUGUGUAUGAUUACUAACAAUGGUUCAUAACAAUGAAUAGUUGCAAGCAAGAGGUACUAAAAAAGUCAGAAGUAUUUCCUGCACAUUAAUUUAAGCUAGGUAAAGGUAUUACAAAGUAUAUAGUAAUGAGGGUGGUUAGUGUCUGUCAUAAACCUUCAUUAUUUGUCUUUGUUUGUCCUGACAUAACGGAAAGUAUUGCAAGCAGGAACAACAGUGAACAAGUUGUUUUUUUGUGACCCAUCAUAGAAGUUACGACAAAUGAAAGUUGUAACUCAUACAUUAGGUUCGUGUACUAAUGCAUUGCACUGGUACUUGUUUAUAUUUGCAUGUUUUAAAGUAAAUUUUUUUAAAGUAAUUUUUUUUAUCUGCACAUGUAUCAAUUAUAUAUGUGUGCUAUAAUAUAUUUUUAAAUCUAUGAUCGUGUAUGAUCAUUUACACUGUCUUAUUGACAGAGUCAUGACGGUGAACAUGUAAAAGUUAUUGCUACAAUAUAUAUGUAAUUAAUAUCUCUGGUAUACAUAAAUUUUGAAACAUUCCUUCGAUAUGCUUUUUGCAUUUCAGACAGAUUUUAUGCCAGUUUGGCUAACGUUUAUUGUGAACAGUAAAAUUGAACAUAUUUUAUCCUGUGUUGCUGUGCUUACACCAUUAGUGCAGUCACAAAUGGCUAGCUAGUCUUGUAAAACAGAAUAAAGGACAUUACUGAAAUAAGGAUGGUGUCAUGUCUUUAAGAAGGUGCUAUCUAUACAUAGGUAUUUUUAAUUUAAGUCACACUUUAAAAAAAGGCCUCCUUUGUAUGUGAUUGUCAAAACAUGUUACACACAUACUGUUGUGAGAGCCAAACCGGUUUUUUUCUCUUAUCUGCUUAUGGUGCUGUUGUUAUAUUUGCUAUUUAUUGUUUGUUCAUUUAACUCAUUACAGUCUGUGAUAUAGUCAAUUAUUGUAACAUUUCGAAUAAUGUUUUCAAUAAAUUUGUUUCAACAGUU